rnacentral:misc_RNA from 1 species
AUGAUUGCGAAUGGUCACCUUCAGUGCUGGCUCGCAAGAGCAAGUGCACGUUGGUGUCUUUCAUCCAAUCCCACACCCUGUGAACCUUUGGCCUCUUGCGAGCUUCGGCUGGCAGAGGAUUUUACAUAUACUCGAAUGUAAUGAAAACUAUUGUUGUGCGCAAGCACUAUUAUAUA